rnacentral:rRNA from 1 species
UACGUAGGGCGCAAGCGUUAUCCGGAAUUAUUGGGCGUAAAGGGCUCGUAGGCGGUUUGUCGCGUCUGCCCGUGAAAAGUCCGGGGGCUCAACUCCGGAUCUGCGGUGGGUACGGGGCAGACUAGAGUGAUGUAGGGGAGACUGGAAUUCCUGGUGUAGCGGUGAAAUGCGCAGAUAUCAGGAGGAACACCGAUGGCGAAGGCAGGUCUCUGGGCAUUAACUGACGCUGAGGAGCGAAAAGCAUGGGGGAGCGAACAGG